rnacentral:rRNA from 2 species
AGAGUUUGAUCCUGGCUCAGAUUGAACGCUGGCGGCAGGCUUAACACAUGCAAGUCGAGCGGAAACGAUGAUAGCUUGCUAUCAGGCGUCGAGCGGCGGACGGGUGAGUAAUACUUAGGAAUCUACCUAGUAGUGGGGGAUAGCACGGGGAAACUCGUAUUAAUACCGCAUACGACCUACGGGAGAAAGGGGGCAGUUUACUGCUCUCGCUAUUAGAUGAGCCUAAGUCGGAUUAGCUAGAUGGUGGGGUAAAGGCCUACCAUGGCGACGAUCUGUAGCUGGUCUGAGAGGAUGAUCAGCCACACCGGGACUGAGACACGGCCCGGACUCCUACGGGAGGCAGCAGUGGGGAAUAUUGGACAAUGGGGGAAACCCUGAUCCAGCCAUGCCGCGUGUGUGAAGAAGGCCUUUUGGUUGUAAAGCACUUUAAGCAGUGAAGAAGACUCCGUGGUUAAUACCCACGGACGAUGACAUUAGCUGCAGAAUAAGCACCGGCUAACUCUGUGCCAGCAGCCGCGGUAAUACAGAGGGUGCAAGCGUUAAUCGGAAUUACUGGGCGUAAAGGGAGCGUAGGUGGCUCUAUAAGUCAGAUGUGAAAUCCCCGGGCUCAACCUGGGAACUGCAUCUGAAACUGUAGAGCUAGAGUAUGUGAGAGGAAGGUAGAAUUCCAGGUGUAGCGGUGAAAUGCGUAGAGAUCUGGAGGAAUACCGAUGGCGAAGGCAGCCUUCUGGCAUAAUACUGACACUGAGGCUCGAAAGCGUGGGUAGCAAACAGGAUUAGAUACCCUGGUAGUCCACGCCGUAAACGAUGUCUACUAGUCGUUGGGUCCCUUGAGGACUUAGUGACGCAGCUAACGCAAUAAGUAGACCGCCUGGGGAGUACGGCCGCAAGGUUAAAACUCAAAUGAAUUGACGGGGGCCCGCACAAGCGGUGGAGCAUGUGGUUUAAUUCGAUGCAACGCGAAGAACCUUACCUGGUCUUGACAUAUCUAGAAUCCUGCAGAGAUGCGGGAGUGCCUUCGGGAAUUAGAAUACAGGUGCUGCAUGGCUGUCGUCAGCUCGUGUCGUGAGAUGUUGGGUUAAGUCCCGCAACGAGCGCAACCCUUGUCCUUAGUUACCAGCGGGUUAAGCCGGGAACUCUAAGGAUACUGCCAGUGACAAACUGGAGGAAGGCGGGGACGACGUCAAGUCAUCAUGGCCCUUACGACCAGGGCUACACACGUGCUACAAUGGUAGGUACAGAGGGCAGCUACACAGCGAUGUGAUGCGAAUCUCAAAAAGCCUAUCGUAGUCCAGAUUGGAGUCUGCAACUCGACUCCAUGAAGUAGGAAUCGCUAGUAAUCGCGGAUCAGAAUGCCGCGGUGAAUACGUUCCCGGGCCUUGUACACACCGCCCGUCACACCAUGGGAGUUGAUUGCACCAGAAGUGGAUAGCUUAACCUUCGGGGAGGCGUUCACCACGGUGUGGUUGAUGACUGGGGUGAAGUCGUAACAAGGUAACC